AGGUUGUAGAUCCCAACACUGUGGACCAUGAGGUGAUCGCAGAUUAAGUGCCAAGAUCCUGGAGUUACAGGUGGCCGAUGAUCCAGAACGCUGAUCCAAACAGAAGCCAGGACGCCACAAACACCAGGCUGAAGAGGAGGAACAUGUAUCUCCAGCGGAUGUCCACGCACGUGGUGAAGAUGUCAGAGAUGUAGCGCUGGGACUUCUCGUCCAUGUUAGAAAAGUGGAUGUUGCAUUGCCCAUUCUUGCUGACAAAGCGGUUGAGGUUUUUGCGUCUGGGCAGGAAGCGGUCGUGGCGGUGGGCUCUUCCCACACUCAUGCCUCAGUGGGGGCAGCCGUGGCUUCUUCCUUGCUCAUACACAGCUCAGGAGCCGGCAAAGGCAGGCAGGCAGCUGGCACAACCAUUAAAGUCACUGGAGGACUGCAGCGAGAGGAUGUAAUUCCCCCGAGAGGCCAAGCUGGUAAAUAAUAUGGGGCACAAAAUUGUCCCUGACAACACAACCUCAGUUACAAGUGCGUUUGUGCGCGGAAUAAUUGGAGGAAGGGAAAACACAUUUUAUAUUAUAUUAUAUAUUAUAUUCCAAUGCACAACAUGCAGGAUAUAAAUGAAGGAAAAUAUAUGUUGUUGGAGUGAAGGUAUAAACGUGUUGAGUCAAGAAUAAAUAUUCUGUUUUAAGGAGAAGGUAAAUAUAAGGUACUUGAGUUGAUACUUGAGUGAAAUGUAAUAUUAAGCAAAAGUUCUGGCUCUAAACAAAGGAAAUUAGACAGAAAAUAAUGUGAAAUGUGAAUUUAUUGUUUAUUAUCACUUAAUGCUGUUAGAGAUUGUUAUUUUCUUUAUCUGUCAGUGUUCCCCCAUUAUGAGAAAAUAUAUUUUACAUUGAGCAA